GUGCACCAGGCGCGAAACCUUCGCAAUGCGGGAAACCGCGACGAGGGGACUCCCAGUGCCUACGCUCAGCGUAGGCUGUUCCCGAGCCUAGAAAGCUCGGGGAGUAAGGGCUGGGUAAGACGGGUGCCAGCCGCCGCGGUAAUACCCGCAGCCCGAGUGGUGGCCACUAUUAUUGGGCCUAAAGCGUCCGUAGCCGGCCCGGUAAAUGCCUGGGUAAAUCGUGAGGCCUAACCUCACGAAUUCCGGGUAGACUGCCGGGCUAGGGACCGGAGGAGGGAGAGGGUACUCCAGGGGUAGGGGUGAAAUCCUGUAAUCCCUGGAGGACCACCGGUGGCGAAGGCGCUCUCCUAGGACGGGUCCGACGGUGAGGGACGAAAGCCAGGGGAGCGAACCGGAUUAGAUACCC
rnacentral:rRNA from 1 species